UACGUAGGGCGCAAGCGUUGUCCGGAAUUAUUGGGCGUAAAGAGCUCGUAGGUGGUUUGUCGCGUCUGUCGUGAAAGCCCAUGGCUUAACUGUGGGUCUGCGGUGGAUACGGGCAUCACUGGAGUUCGGCAGGGGAGACUGGAAUUCCUGGUGUAGCGGUGAAAUGCGUAGAUAUCCGGAGGAAUACCGGUGGCGAAGGCGGCAUCCUGGACCGAUAUUGACACUGAUGAGCGAAAGCCAGGGGAGCAAACGGG
rnacentral:rRNA from 1 species